GCAGAGCACUCCUACGGGAGGCAGCAGUGGGGAAUAUUGCACAAUGGGGGAAACCCUGAUGCAGCCAUGCCGCGUGUGUGAAGAAGGCCUUCGGGUUGUAAAGCACUUUCAGUAGGGAGGAAGGUAGUGUAGUUAACACCUGCACUAUUUGACGUUACCUACAGAAGAAGCACCGGCUAACUCCGUGCCAGCAGCCGCGGUAAUACGGAGGGUGCGAGCGUUAAUCGGAAUUACUGGGCGUAAAGCGCAUGCAGGCGGCCUGUUAAGUCAGAUGUGAAAGCCCGGGGCUUAACCUCGGAAUUGCAUUUGAAACUGGCAGGCUAGAGUCUUGUAGAGGGGGUAGAAUUUCAGGUGUAGCGGUGAGAUGCGUAGAGAUCUGAAGGAAUACCAGUGGCGAAGGCGGCCCCCUGGACAAAGACUGACGCUCAGAUGCGAAAGCGUGGGGAGCAAACAGGAUUAGAUACCCUGGUAG
rnacentral:rRNA from 1 species